rnacentral:tRNA from 1 species
CAAGAUAUAGCUUAAUGAAAGCAUCUCGCUUACACCGAGAAAAUGCCCGCUAACCCGAGCUAUCUUGA